UACGUAGGGUGCGAGCGUUGUCCGGAAUUAUUGGGCGUAAAGAGCUCGUAGGCGGUUUGUCGCGUCGACUGUGAAAACCUACAGCUUAACUGUGGGCUUGCAGUCGAUACGGGCAGACUUGAGUUCGGUAGGGGAGACUGGAAUUCCUGGUGUAGCGGUGAAAUGCGCAGAUAUCAGGAGGAACACCAAUGGCGAAGGCAGCUCGCUGGGACGGUACUGACGCUGAGGCGCGAAAGCGUGGGGAGCAAACAGG
rnacentral:rRNA from 1 species